GUGCUCGCUUCAGCAGCACAUAUACUAAAAUUGGGACAAUAUAGAGAUUAGCAUAGCCCCUGCACAAGGAUGUCAUGCGAAUUCGUGAAGCGUUCCAUAUUUUU
rnacentral:snRNA from 1 species